CCUACGGGAGGCAGCAGUGGGGAAUAUUGCGCAAUGGGCGAAAGCCUGACGCAGCGACGCCGCGUGAGGGAUGAAGGUCUUCGGAUUGUAAACCCCUUUCUCCAGGGACGAAGAUGACGGUACCUGGGGAGGAACCUCCGGCUAACUACGGGCCAGCAGCCGCGGUAAUACGUAGGGAGCGAGCGUUGUCCGGAAUUACUGGGUGUAAAGGGGGCGUAGGCGGGCAUGCAAGUUGGGUGUGAAAAUUACGGGCUCAACUGGCAGCCGCACUUGAAACUGCAGCUCUUGAGUGAAGUAGAGGCAGGCGGAAUGCCUAGUGUAGCGGUGAAAUGCGUAGAUAUUAGGAGGAACACCAGUGGCGAAGGCGGCCUGCUGGGCUUUUACUGACGCUGAGGCUCGAAAGUGUGGGGAGCAAACAGGAUUAGAUACCCCGGUAGUC
rnacentral:rRNA from 1 species